CGCCAAGGAGACGCCCACGACGAGGGGCGAGGAUCAACCCAUCCCACCUCAGCACUCUACCUCCGUUGCGUCUCCGAGGAGACGCCCACGACGGUGGUGGUGGGGGGAUGGGGUCAUAUUGACGAGGUAACGCGGGCGACGCUUUACGGCAGGGGUGAGCUGGGUCGCAGUCGAACCUCGCCAGCUAUCGCGCGAAGCUCAGAGGGGACCGGUUCUUUCCCGCCGAAGCGUGGCCUUAGCCACUUUGGUCCACUCAGCCUCCUUUGUGUCUUUUCCCUGGGGCGACGCGGGGCGAGGCGGGGCCGGGACCGGCAGCCUUUCUGGCUGGAGGGACCCUCCCCAUCUUCUAACGUCUGAGCAGCCUGUACCCUGCAUGCAAGGUCGUGGUAAGAAAAUCAAAGGGCUUGAUCAACGGCUCAUAUAUUGCCUUGUUGUGGACCCAGAGUGCAAGGACAGACGAAGCCAGACACUGACUUUACAUUUUUGAUAGGUCGCGGCUUACUAAAAUAAUAAAAGAGUGUGAUGAACGGCUCGUACGUUGCCUUGGUGUGGAGCCAGCGUUGAGGCAUAGACGAAGAACAAACACUGAUUCCACACUUCUCGUAGGUACAUAAUACAGCCCUGAGUGGUGCUUUGGUUCUAUUACCCGCUUCUGUAGAGUAGGCACCUCUCUCAAGGCAGGUCCCUCACCAAAUUUCUCGGGUUACUGUCUGGUGAGUAGCGUGUUCAGGUAGACUUAGUCACUACAAGCUGUAUCAUUGUAAUGAUCAGAAAAGUUUUCCCUGCUUGAUUCAACUAAAACUGGAGCCCGGCAAGGGCCAUUAUUUUCCUGGAGCCUAUUUCACACAUCUGAUGGGUGUCGAAGAAAACUCCCUGGUGUACUUUGUGUUUUACUCCUUUGCCUUUCAGAAAGAUGAUUUUCUGAAGUGUUUUAAUCCAGUUUAUACUGGUUCUGUGGAGGUAUGUCCUUAAUGCUAAGACUGAGCAAAGGCAGGGUUAGUUCAGCGACCUGAGUCCUUCUGAAUCUAUCAAAAGUAGCCUUCUUGCAGGAUGGGCCAGGUGGCCAGGGGCAGGAGCUUCAGCGCCUUGUUCCUGAACAUGGCCACUCCUGACGCCAUGCCCCUGAGGGCCUGACAGCGAGGGGCUCCUUGGUGGGGUAGCCAGGCCCUGGAACACCACUACCUGUUGCUCCCACACCUGCUCUGAUGAGGUGGCAGGCCGCCAGGUUCGCUCAGGAUAUUCGGAGUGUUGGAAACCCUCACUUCCUCCCGUCACAGGCCUUCCCCCGGCAGGAUCCACAGGAAGGGCCUGCACGCCAUGCUGAAAAAGUUUCCCCUUCAUGGCACUGUUUUCCCAGAAAUGCUAUUGCCCUCUCCUGCUGGGCCAUUCCCUCUGCCCUAUGUUGGUGAAAAAAGGCUCUGGUUGUGCCCAAGAGCCUUCUAAGUGCUAUAACGGGGCAUUGCUCUGGAUUGUUAAAGAGGUGUCUCCUCAUUAGGGGGCUUCUUCUUGGCAGUAAGGUCAUACCUUUGUGUAUAUCUAAAGCAUCCUAUCAACCUGUAGUUCAUGUUCAUAGCAGUCUAGGAGAUUCAGAGUCCACACGGCCUGGAUCCUCCGUUUUCUGGCGAUCACUAUGUGAUAUGUUCUGUCAGUUUGUUAUUGGUCAAGUUUCAGGCCAGAAUUCCCUUGAUGAUAUAAUAAUUAGGCUUUGGUUGAAGGCCUUUGCCACUUGGAAUAAAUCCAGGUUGUAACCAUGCAUACAAAGUGUGUGCUUGUGUUACAUGAAUCCUUUUGGAAUAGGUGUAGAGAUGCCGUAAUUAUCAUCACUAUAGAUGUCUGCAUAGUUUUAGGAAAUUUUAAAAUAUACUAUAUAUUCAAUAUGUACCCAUUUUUACCUCCUAAGGUUUCUGACAGUCUUAAUUUCAAAGAGUUGCUGGUUAUUUUUAUGAAAGUACCCCUGUGGAGGUGUCGGUGGAGGACUCUUUGUGGUAGUCAUAGUAAAGUGAAAUAUGCCCCUGACUUCAUGGAAAAAAUGACAUCAACCCCAAAUGUUAAUGAAGUUGUUAAUCAAGAUGAACUCAUUCAUUGCCAGUAGGAAUACAAAAUAUUCUAACCACUCUGUGUAAUAAAUGAAAACUUAUUGUGGUCUAUUUUGAAGGGUAGCUAUCUUUGAGGAAAAAAGAAAAUUUACUAGCACGCAAACAAAGGGAAAGUGGGAUGCUCAGGGUUUCACGCUGGCUCCUUCUGGUGGUGAAUUCAAAACAUAAGGACAGUAAUAAAUGUGAGCAAAAGUGGAAAUAAGUUGUUAGGAAAGGUCCAGCCCAUAAAGAAGGAAAUAUACUUAGGAAACCUCUGGAAAGAUUAUUGAUCUACCCCAUAGUACUCAGCCAUUGAGCAACUGGGGAAGGGACUUGAGUGCUAGAAAAUAAAUUGCUUGUUGUAACUGCCCUGGGUGUGCCUGCCCACCAGACACAUCUUGCAAGACCUUCACUAAAGCCUUGCUUCCCACUGCACCUUGUGUCUCCAAGUCCAUUCUUUUGGUUUGGGCCAGUGGGCUUUAUUUCCCACACUUUGGAAGUUUGGCAAUCACACAGAAACAUGUACACAAAUGUUUAUAGUUUUUUUCAUAAUUUCCAAACCUUGUAAGCAACCAAGAUGUCCUUGAGUUGGUGAAUAGAUGAACAAAUAUAGUGUGGAAUAAAAGAAAGGAGCUAUCAAGCUGCAAACGUACUUGGAGGAAUCCUAAAUGCACAUUGCUAAGUUUAAGAAGCCAACUUGGGGGAAAAAAAAGUUUACUGAUAAGGUUCCAACUGUAUGACAUUCAAGAAAAGGCAAAAACUGGGGACAGUUAAAAGAUAAGUGGUUAUCAAGGAUUCCACGGAGGGAUGGAGAGAUGAAUAGGUGGAACACAAGAUUUUUUUUUUAGGACAAUAAGAGUCUAUCUAAUGUACUAUAAAGGUGGACACAUAUCAUUAUGUAUUUGUCAAAACCUAUAGAAGUGUGACACAAAUAUUGAACCCCAAUAUAAACUAGAGUUCAUUACAAACUAGAGUUGUAACAAAUGUGUAACACUGUCAGAAGCUGUUAAGAGGGAAAGCUGGAGUGUGGAGUAGGCAAACGGUCAUAUUCUCUGUACUUUCCACUCAUUUCUCUGUAAACCUAAAACUACUAAAAAUGUAUUAAAUUUAAAAAAAUAAUCUGACAGUUCCUUUCUUAACUGUAUAACCUUGAAAAGAGGUUGCAUUGUACAAAAUACAAACUGGAAUCUUUUUACAACCUUAAUUGAGCAUCCAAAAUGAGAUGCUCCCCAAAAUCUGAGUGUUGAAUGAUAUAUGCUUUAUGAUGAUUAACUGAAACACUUGUAUAGAAAGUUACGAGAGUGAAGGUGAGAAGUUAAAAUAUGGGUGCUAGGUAGAAGACACCCAUCUGAAUAGGAGUUAAGAGUAUGCCACCCCAAAACCUGCCUCUUUGUAAUAUUUUCAGGUAAAGGCCCCAACACAUGAAAAGCUCCAAAAACAGCACAGGCUUUCCUUCUACAAAGGAAAUUUCCAAUUACAAGGGAAAUUUUCAUUUGUAAAAUGUGUCUCUCCUUUAAAAGGAAGAGGAACUCUUAUUUAACUUUGACCUCUAACACUGUGUGGGUGUACAAUUAUGAUGAUCUCUAUACAUAUAUCCUGCAAAGUGAUUACCACAAUAAGAUUAGUUAAUAUCACCUCACAUAGUUAGCUAAGAUUUGCUGUUAGCGACUUUCAAGUGUACAGAAAAUUCACUGUGCUGUACAUUAAAUCUCUAGCACUUAUUCAUCUCUUAUAAGAAGAAAUUUGUACUUUAUGACCAUUUUCACCUACUUCCCCUGUCCCUAGCAGAUCCCACAUACAAAGAAGUAUAUGAUUUGUCUCUGACUUAUUUCACAUAGCAUAAUGCCUUUAAGAUUUAUCCAUGUUGCUGCAAGUAGUAGAAUUCCUUCUUUUCUGUGACUGAAGAGUAAUUCAUUGUAUGUGUGUGUGUGUAUCACACUGUCUUUGCUAUUUUGUUGGAGGGGGGCACCACACAACUUGUGGGAUCUUAGUUCUCUGACCAAGGAUUGAAUCUAGGCCCUUGGCAGUGAAAAUGCAGAGUCCUAAACACUGGACUAUUGGGGAAGUCCCUAUAUCACAUUUUCUUUAUCCAUUCUCCCCACAGUAGACACCUACGUUGUUUCUGUGUUUUGGUUAUUGUAAAUAAUGCUGCAGUGAACAUGGGAG